AUUGAACGCUGGCGGCAGGCCUAACACAUGCAAGUCGAACGAGUGGCGGACGGGUGAGUAAUGUCUGGGGAACUGCCUGAUGGAGGGGGAUAACUACUGGAAACGGUGGCUAAUACCGCAUACCAUCAGAUUUACCCAUAUGGGAUUAGCUAGUAGGUGGGGUAACGGCUAACCUAGGCGACGAUCCCUAGCUGGUCUGAGAGGAUGACCAGCCACACUGGAACUGAGACACGGUCCAGACUCCUACGGGAGGCAGCAGUGGGGAAUAUUGCACAAUGGGCGCAAGCCUGAUGCAGCCAUGCCGCGUGUAUGAAGAAGGCCCUCGGGUUGUAAAGUACUUUCAGUGGGGAGGCGUUACCCGCAGAAGAAGCACCGGCUAACUCCGUGCCAGCAGCCGCGGUAAUAC
rnacentral:rRNA from 1 species